UACGAAGGGGGGCUAGCGUUGCUCGGAAUCACUGGGCGUAAAGCGCACGUAGGCGGAUCCUUAAGUCGGGGGUGAAAUCCUGGAGCUCAACUCCAGAACUGCCUUCGAUACUGAGGAUCUCGAGUCCGGGAGAGGUGAGUGGAACUGCGAGUGUAGAGGUGAAAUUCGUAGAUAUUCGCAAGAACACCAGUGGCGAAGGCGGCUCACUGGCCCGGUACGUG
rnacentral:rRNA from 1 species